CCAUCCAUCCAGUGGGGUGCAGUCUGGGGUUUCGUCCUCCUCAGUUCCCCGAGCUUUGCUUCCUAGUUGGCUUCAGCAACAUCAAGCAGAACCAUUCCAUGAGAGCAUAUAAGGAACCUCAAACUGCUUCUUAGCUAGAACUUAAGGUGUUUCAUUUCCAUCUACGUCUUUUCUCAGAUGGCAUCUCACAGUAUAGCCCAAGUCAAAGUCAGAAACUGCUUCCAUCUGAUAAUGUUGUCUCAAUGCAAUUAGUUGAAUAUUCUGUUGGUUCUGGAGAGGAGACUCAUUAAAAAAUGUGCUUUAAUGCCAGUGGGCCCAAUUUGUUGCCUCUAAGUUGCGUUCAUCAAACUGUGGAGAGUGUUUGUCUGCCAUCUCCCUCCAAUAACAAGGAUUCUGAAAGACAGUAUGAAGACAAAUUCAAUUUUGGCUUUCUCAACUGUGCUGAUGUCAAUGACGCAGUUGAACUAUCUAUUGCAGCAUCUGAAGCACUGGUUAUACAUGAAUUAGUGAAGCGUGAGUUAGCUUCAAUGGCAUUGCCAACAGAAUCAGUACUUGAAGUUGCCCUUCAGGUGAAGCAAGCACGGUUGGACAUUUUGGAAGAGGCAUUCAAUUUCCAAACUGAGGAGAGUGACAUAUGCUAUUCUCUUUCUGACUUGGAUGAUGUUGCUAUGGCAGAUACAUUUGAAGAUGUUGGGUUAUCUUACAAUAACCCUGAUGAUCAGUGUGCUUGUGAUUCAGCUCAAUCUCAUGUCAAGGAAACUCCACUAUUUGAAAAUCGUAGCAUAUUUCACAAUGGAUUAAAUCACAUAGACGUCAGAUCUCAACAAGUAGAUUCUGAUCAUAUUUCUACACACAGACAUUUAGAAGACAAUAUGGGCGUGGAUGUGCAGUUAACAAAAGACUUAUGUCCAGGAUCUCUUGAUUGUGAAAGACACAGGAAAUGUUCUCAUGGUCCUGUUCAGGAAGAAGAUGCUCAUGCACUGUCGAAGCCGAAAAAUGCUAGAAGUGUUCCUGCGUUUUUUCUUGGCGAGACAAGCUAUCUAUCGGAAUCAGCAGAUGUUGCCCCAGAUGAAAACUCUUUUGUGCAUGAACACGAGUGCAUGUCCAAAUUUGGUUCCCCGUCAAGCAUACCUGUUGAAGGUUCACUUAAAAAGGCUCAUGAAGGGAUAUUGUUUUCUCAAGAUCUGGUUAGAUCUUCAAGUCUAUCUUUUGUCGAUCCUCUCUGUUCUGUUGUUCCUUGUAGUAUUCCUCCAGAAAAUACUAGGGAAAAAUGCUCUAGAUUCUUGAGCGAACAUGGGAUGGAGAAUUUGCAAAGGGCACUAAACCAAAAUCUAGGAACUGAUCAUGGGGAUGACCAUGCUGCAUACACAGUUAAUAUAGAAGCUUCUGGUGUAUCAACUAGAAGGCAGAUGGCCUCACUUAAGACUUAUAGCAUGCAUGUGCCUAACUCUGUAUGCUUUUUGGAAGGGGGAUGCCUUGACUAUAACCAGUCCUUUCAAUUAGAAUAUGAUCGAGGGAAGCUUUCUUCAGAUCAAAAUAUGUGCUGCUCCAUGUCUUCUGAUAAAAGGGGUUCUACCGAGUUCCUAUAUUCAAGGCCUGUUUCGAAUUAUGCUGGUGGUAGAAAUAAUGAUGACACUCAGGAAACUACUAUAAACAAUAUUUCAGUUGCAGAAAUGACAAAUCUGAAGAGAAAUUUUGAGAAAACUACCAGAGAAGAGGACGUGUCUCUGAUCCAUCCAUUGGAGAGGAGAACUUCACCUCAAAGGGCAUCCUGGCAACUGAUGUCUUCUAAGCAUUCUGUAAAGAGUUUCACCGGACAUCCUAGACAUGCUUCGGUAUCAGGAUGCAUUAUUAAGCAUCAUCAAAGCAAAAUUGUUCAAAAUAUACAAUCUAAAGGCUAUAAUUUCCAUGACAACCAUGCAAGAAAACGUGUUCAUUUCUCUGAAGCAAAGGAUCUACUCCAGCAAACCAUGAACCCCCCAAAGCAUCAAUCUUCACACCAGAACUGCCCAACUCUUAGAGCUCGUAAAGGACCAAAUUUGCCCAAAAAAUGGUCUAGAGCUUAUGGCAUGAAAAGCUGUCUCACAAAAUCUUCUCACAAGGUUAGGAAGAGAUUGAAUUUUCAAGGUAUAGAAUUCCUUGUUACUGGAUUUUCUAGUGAGAAGACAAAGGAAAUUGAAGGACUAAUAUGGAAAUAUGGUGGCAUUGUUCUCUUGGAUAUUCCUUCUCCAAAUUCAAGGGGAAAGGGAAGUGCAAGAGUUACUUGUCAGCACUCUCCUGUUAUUCUUUGUUUAAAAAAGUUAAAAACUACCAAGUUCUUGUAUGGGUGUGCAGUGAAUGCUUUAAUACUGAAAGUUGAUUGGCUUACCGAUUCAAUUGUAGCAGGUUCUAUAUUACUACCUGAGAAAUACAUGAUUCUAUCAAACCAAGUUGAUGCAAUAUGUACCGGAAGUGGAAAGCUAGUUCAUCUCAAUAGCAAUAUGUAUAUAUUUGAAAGAGUAGGGAUUAUGCUUCACGGGAAGCAUAGUUUCUGCACCAAAUUUGCAAAAAUAUUCAGGCAUGGAGGUGGCCGGGUGUUUAAAACCCUUCAGUGGUUAAUUAAGGAUCUUGACAAUAAAAAGAUUUUUAUCGGUGCUAUCAUUGCUGAGGAUGAGAGUAGAGUAUCACGUCAGUUGAAACACUGUGCGGCAGAGCGAGAAAUACUCAUGAUGAGAAAAACUACUACUUGCCUUUGCCAACAAAUAAUAUUCCAGUGGCUCCUAUUUCCAUGGGGUGGAGUGAAGCAAUAUGAACUUCGUUUCUACCACAGGUAUUGGAUACGAUUGGAACAAGUACAGAUUAACUCCAUGCUUCUCUUAGAGGUAGCUAUAAGUGCUAAUAAGAGCUUCUCCACAGAUGUUUAUGCCGGUGUUUGAUCUACUUUUCUCACUUGAAGAAACAGCUUAAAAGAGUUAAUAUUAAUAAGGUGCCGAUCUCCUGUGAAACAUCCACUACGGGUGAAGAUCAGGAAACAGUGAGAGACAACCAUUGAUAGGGCUUUGUUUAUUUUUCUGUCAAUUUUCACAGGAACAGUGGCAGAGUAGACCAGGUGCCGGAUGGCACACAAAUUAACAAGCUUCAGACUGGAAAUUGGAAAAUGUUAUCAUAUCUAUCUUGUGCUUGUUUAUUGCCAAUGGCGGCAGACGAAUUUGCGCACUACUGCUGACGUGGCAGGUGGAAUUAUUAAAAGAAAAAAUAAACAAAACAAAAACGAGGGAAACGAAAUCUCUUUCUCGGGCUUCUUUGAAUCUUUCUACCAUUUUUCUCUCUCAGCUUCUCUGCAACCAGCUCCUCCUCACGACCACCUCCUCGGCGCGACCAGCUCCCCCACGUGACCAGCUCCUCCGCGCGACCACCUCAUUCGUGCGACAACCUCCUCCUCACGACCACUUCCCGAAAAGAAGUAACAGACUUAACUUCAGAGAUUAAGGCAAGAGUGGGCGUCUCAAGCUUGUUGGAACAGAAGCUAAAUUUUAUUAGACAAACAGAGAGAUCUCAAAACUUCCACAAAUACUAGUGAGUGAGAGGGAGAAAUAGAGAGACAGAGUUCUAGAGAGAGAAAGCUAGGGAAUUUGGGGGAUCUAGAUCUCUAUGGAAGCCAUGGCAAGAGAACAUCUCGCUCUUCACCAGUGGAUCUGUCUGAGUCUAUUGCUUUUCAUCCAUGCUGCUCACUGCUUUAUCUCCCUAGUGUCGCUCACCAAGAUUUUCAAAAUGUAUGUGUUUAUAUAUGUCCGCGUGUAUGUAUAUGUGUACUUGUGCUUGAAUAUAGGGUUGGAUCUUGG